rnacentral:misc_RNA from 1 species
GAUGAAGAACGUAGCGAAAUGCGAUAAGUAAUGUGAAUUGCAGAAUUCAGUGAAUCAUCGAAUCUUUGAACGCACCUUGCGCUCCUUGGUAUUCCAAAGAGCAUGCCUGUUUGAGUAUCAUUAAAUUAUCAACUGUACCAAUUUGGUUGCAGAUUGGAUGUGGGAGAUUUUGCAGGCUUUUGAUUUCUCUUUGAGAAAACGGUCAGCUCUCCUGAAAUAUAUUAGCAGUGCCUUUGUUGGUUCAUUAGGUGUGAUAAUUUAUCUACAUCUUCACAUGGUACCUUCAUUUGUGUAAAGGUCAUAUUGCUUCUAAUUGUCUUUGGACAUAAAAAAAAAAAAAACAUAUAAUUGUAUGGAAAACUUGAUCUCAAAUCAGGCAGGACUACCCGCUGAACUUAAGCAUAUCAAUAAGCGGAGGA